CUGGCUUUAACUAUUUUGAGACGAAAUGGGCCAGCAACAGGCCCAAUUUGUUAUCUACAAGAGUCUUUAAGAGAAAUCAUGGCUAGUUGAGAUUCGGCUCGGAAUGGAGCCCAAGAGUGAAGACAAAAGGGCAAAGCAAGCUUGGUCUUAACCUGGUAGAUUCAAUUGGGCCAGUACCAAGGCCAACUUUAAAGGUAAGCUUUCAAUGUUGGAAUAUAUUUAUUAUAUUAACAAAAAAAUUUGGAAAAAUGUGCUGAAGAUACUCAGGACUAAAUUGAUCUCAAAAACUGAAAGAGAACAAGAGCCAUUCACAUGGAAUUUGGUUCCAAAACCAGCUGCCACAUCUGGGCGAAACACCAGGCCCAAUUAUACUAAACAGAGAACCUUUGGUGUCCAGGCCUUGAUUUGGCAUGAUUUCAUUUUUUGCAUAGAAAUUAGCAAUUACUAACAAUAUAGAAUAUUAGCCAAUAUUAUAAAUUAAUUUGUUUAAACAUGCAGCUAAUACUAACAAUAAGGGACUACAUCUCAAACCCGUUCAUGAAUCACCCCAAAACAAAAUAUAUAAUCAGUUUAACAAGGCAGGGAUGUGAAAUAGUUUGACACUGCUCUUUACAGUACAUACACAACCUAUCCUAAUAAAGAUCAAAUGAACUAACAAGUCACUUUAGCAUUUUAAAACUUUCAAAAAACAAUACACGAUGCAGAUGAACUUAUCCGUCUAUUCAUGCAUGUAACUAAGCUAAUAGCACUGAAUAUUGGAUGUAAAAUACCUAACAACAUAUUAAACCAAGAAAGAGCCUACACAAGGAAAUCUGUAAUUUAACAAUUGGAUAAUCAAUUUUAAUACAAUAAACGGCUAAAUAUAUGCUUCAAACUUCAUUUUCCUUUCAAGAGUUAAAGAGGUACCGGAAUAUCAAGAACCAAAACAAGAGUAAAGUCAGAAUUUCAGCAAGGAAUCAGUGGAGACAGUCUCAAAUCAACAACUAUGCACAAGGCAAACCUAGAAAACUAGAAAUCUAGCCAAGGCUUUUCUAAGUUCUUGCUAAAGAAAAAUCAGAAAAAAACAUACUAACUCCCAAUGAAACCAUGCAGAAAACCCUUUUUAGUCUUUUUAAGGGUUCGAAAAUAUCUGAUCACCAAAUGUGUAGAGAAAAGCUCUAUUUUAUAAGCAUCUAAAAUGCCAUGUGCUGAAACAAAAUCAUGAAAUUAUUCCCUUCAACCACAAAGUCAUAUUUUAACAAAGUUGGAUAGUUGGUUCCCCUUCAUUGGCUUCAUAAAUUUGUGCUACCCAAAUGAGGCCAGCUGUCCCUAUUCUAUAACUUUCCCACAUGGUCUUAUCAUAUUUCACACUUACACACCCUUAAAACAAACCUCUUAAGUUUUCUUUAUUUUUUAAUUAAACCCUACAAGUUCUUAACGACUUACAAACUGUGGCAAACAGAAACAACCAGGCACAUAUCAAUAGAUAAAUCAAAUAGCAAAUAACAAAGCUAAAAGUGUGAACAUAUGUAAAUUUAAAAUAAAUCUAACCUAUAAAAUGAACCAUAUUUAUAAUGAAACUCAACAAUGUUCUUCAAACUAACAACUUUGAUGAUGAUAAUACAAAACGACUGAAUAAAAGCUAAAACUAGGCUAACUAGGCAUUGAUUGAACUAAACUAUUUAAAAGUAAACUAAUUAAGAAAUUUUAGGCAUACUAAAAAGUCAAGACAACAAAGAUACCUAAAACUACCAUAAUAAACAAAACUAUUUUAAGAGAUAAACUAAUUAAUCCAAUCAGCAUACUAGUAUAGUGCAUCAAAACAACAAAAAAAUUACUAAAACUAAUAAUAAACUAAACUAAUUUACGAGUUAAACUAAUUGACCGUGAGCUAAAUCAAAUGAACAAACCCUAUCAGAGAACUUGGUUGAACAUGAUUACAAAUAAAACAAGCAAGCAAACUAAACUUAAAAAAAAAAAAGAAAUUACUAAGUCGACCUAAAGAGAAGAGAAAGAAAGGGACUGUAGUGAUAUUACCCCUUGAGUGGAAGGAAAAGUGAGGGUGAUUUUGACAACCUGCUCUGUUCCGAUUGACCAUUUAAAGGUCUUUUCCUUCAAGGGAUCCAGACUUGCAUGUGUUCCGAUUGGAUCUCCUUGAAAGAAAAGACUUAUGAGAUGGCCAAACAUAGGUGAGUCCUUAAACUCGACUACUGAGGGAAAAACAGACCCAAGAAUUCGAAGUAGUCUGGAUGUUUACUGGAUCUAGAUUUUUGACUUUUGGGGGGUAAUUUGGAGCAAUCACUCAGGAGUUUGGGUUUAGAGGGGUAUGGAGGUUAUGAGGUUUGGAUUUGAAUUGGUUUGGGAGGAAUCUGGGUGAACUAGGAUUUGGUUUCAGAUCUAGAAUCGGCAAGUUUAUGUGAUGAUUUGGUAGAAGCUGAUGAUGUAUUCAUGUUGCAGGGGCUGUAGGGAGUGUAGAUUGUGACUUCGGGUUUGCUUGAUGAUGGGAGCCGCCAUAGAAAGAUUUCCGGUGGGCGGCGGAUGGUGGUGAGGGAAUAGAGAAUAAGGGCGGCUAGGGUUUGCAAUUUCGAGAGACGGAGGGAAAAUGGGGAGGG
rnacentral:lncRNA from 1 species